rnacentral:lncRNA from 1 species
AUGCUAUUUAUGUUCGUUUUAACUUCAUUCCAAUCUGUUUGCAUUACAUUGAACAUUUGCUUCGACAGACGUUGUUUUUUUUUCCUGCUGAAGGCGAGCAGAUUGUGCUUGGUAUCGCAAGUCCUCCACAAACAUUCCAUAGCUGUGACAGGACCUGCACCUUAUCGCAUUUUAAUCCUUCACACAUAUAAAAUACUUUCAUUAAAUCCCGUCUCCGUGCGACUUCCCAUAGUCCGCUCACAGCCGCAGCGCCGUACACAACGAGGGCAAGGCGCGGCAGGGCCGGGCCCACUGCGGCACGGGGGCCCUCCCGGGGCCGGCGCCGUGAGGCGGCUCCCGCCCAGCCACCGGCACGCAGCGGGCACUACGAGUACCGAGAUGCAGCGCGCGGAGGGGCGGGCUCCGUGGGCACUACAGAUCCCACAAUGCUCCGCGUCGCCCUGUGGCUCCGCUCGGGGAGGCUGGUUCCUAUUUAAAUCUGGGCAGCGAGGAAAAUGGCGGCGAGAGGUUGAGCGCGGGGGAGACGGGGACAGAGCUGCGCCUUGGCUCCUUUCCCAGGCAUUCCUACCAGCUUCUGUUGGAGAGAGAAGACUGCUAGUACAUCCAAAUAAAGCUGCAGUCAGCAUUGUCAGAGGGAUGGUUAGAGCAGCAGAUGAAUGUGAAUGCAACCAGUUGAUAUGAAAAGCUUCAGUUCGCUUUCUUAAGAAAUGAGGUACUUGAAUAAAACUCCUUUACCUGCCUACUGGUGAUUAGCUGUUAAGUAGUCUGACUGGAAGUAUCCAUUUUGAAACUCUUGAUUGGUAUAGGCCUUUGGUGUGUGCUUACAUGUGAAUGUCUCAUAAAUAUUUCCCAGGAGCAAUUUAUUUUUCUAAUUAGCUUGAACAUCCUCUGCUUUAGGUAGCGCUUUAAGCAAUUUUCAGUAAAUCAAUUCAAUCACACAGCUGUUGUUUGAAACUUUUCCUAAGUUCCCGUAAUUCUCUGUAGAGACCCAGAAUCUCACUAAUUAGUACACUUAAUCAUACCUUCUAUAAAAUGCGUGGCAAUAUGGAUUAAUCAGUCCCAGAAUUUCAUAGGAAAACAGGGUAACAGAAAACCAAGUGUAUAUAGCUGUGAAAGCAGUCUGUUAUUCUCAUGUACCAGUUAUGUACAGUGUGCACAAGCUGGCACAAAAUGGCUGAGCACUGAGCUUUUUGCAUGGCAGUCAUCACAAAAUAAUUAAUUUGGGGCUGCAGGUUUUUGUACUUAGACUUUUAAGUUACUAAGAUCAAACAUCAACUUUUUCUUUAGAUUUCCUCUGAAGGAAAAAGUACAUUUUCUGUUCCUAUAUGAAAGGACAUCUAUCUUAGUAUGGUGGUAUCUGUGAUGUUACAGUUCAGACUGUUAGCUGUUCGGCACAUACUAGAGGUGACAUUUACAGUUAAUACAAAUGAGUUUUAAAUUUCUUUCAUGUUAGUUACAGUGACUGUUUAGUUUUUGGUGAGAUUGUUAAUAUUAGAUUAAAAGAAAAAAUGGGAAUGC